GCUGUUAAGAAAACACCAUUUCCAGAGAGUAGGUUGUUCUUAGUUUUCAUUUAUUUCUGUGGUACAGCUACAUAUAUACUUGAAUUGACUUUGAAUUCAUUACCUUGUAAAUACUGUUCUCUGUGUAUCUGUAUAAUUCUCUUCCUUGUGGUAUUCUUAUAUAAAUUUGAAAUUCAUCUCUUUUCAUACUUGACCUUGACUGUAUAAGCAUUUUGAAAGCUACGACUUCAAAAAUUUAUUCAACAUUCAGUUCUUCCUGUUGUACUCUUAGUCGUAAAUAUGUGCUGACCAGACAUAAGAUAAUAGCAAAAACAACUGAAGAGAUAUAAAUGCUGUGAUUAUUACUUAUAUUAAUUUUAACCUUUUUUGAUAUGGUUUACUAUUUCAUCUGUGCCACAAGUGGCUAAGUGAACACCAUCAUGAUAAAGGUUAAUCACAAGCUGAUAUUUAGUUGCCACUAGAAAUCUGGCAAUCAUGUAUCUUGAUCCCUGGCCAUGAGUAAGUAGUUUUCUCUUCGGAAAGCAUUUUCAAAAAGUUCUUAAAAUCACUGUGCAUAAGAGGGCAUAUUAGAUUCUUAAUUCUGUUCUAUACUGCGACAGGUUAUAAUGUUAAAAAGAUUGUUGAACUGAACCAAAAUUAUGGCAUGGCACAUGAAGCAUAUACUAAUAUGUGUUCCUUUUUAUUUAGUCAUUUAAAAUUCAUCUGUCUCAGAAUUGUUUAUGCUGUUUGUUUUUGUGAUGAACCUAGAUGCCUGCAGAGAGAAGUAUUACAUUAUAUGAUGUGUGAUUAUAGUAAAGGAUGUGAACAGUAAGUACUUCAGUUUUUUGGCUCUUGUUUCAUUCAAUAAAUAUAAAAUAAAUUGUAGCACUCAACUGAUGGAUAAACAAUGUCACAUUGCAUACAAUGUUUAUAAAGAAUAUAUGCUCAUAAUUCAGUUUUCCCAAACAGAAAUUUUCACAAUUCUGUUCUUAUUAAUAUUUAUAAAGUUGAGAUUUGAGUUUUCACAGCAGUGAAUAUUCUUUCUGUAGUAUUCCAGAUCAUGGGUUCCCCUAACACAGGGUUGCAAUGAAUUGGGCCACAAGGGCCUUCUGAUGGGUUUGCAUAGUGCUAAAAUAAUCAAGUGAACUUGAAUGCUAAAAUUAUUGUUAAGUAGGCACAUAAAAAUACACAUAAUCCCAAAUGUUUUCUUUAAUAUUAUAUUAUAAAUCUACAGUAGGCCCUUGCACCAUUUGUGACACAAGCCAAAAUGUGAUUUCAGAUACUGGGUUGACUUUAAAUGAGUCCAGCAACUACUGUACUAGGUUACGUGUAUGACACUGUGUAGUCAAGUAGAUGGGUGCUGCUCAAGAUGAAGAAACGAACUCCAUUUUCUACCCUGAAGAUGGGAGCAGUAUAUUUCUCUGAUCACUGGUCCUCACCUUCUAGACUGCGCCAUGUUGUAACCCAGAAGACCAAAACAUGAGGAUUGAUUUUGUGUUUAUGAAUGUUUGCUUCGCCACUGAUUAUCUCAGUUGUCACAAGUGGUCCAGCAUAUUUCUUUAGGAUAUGCCUAUGGUAAUACAAGUUGAAGAAUGUAAAUUGUGAAGCUUAUAGUUAUGUACUUUCCCCUCUUACUUCAUCUCUUCAGGCUCAGAAUUCUCUUAACUACUUUGUUCUCAAACACACUCUUACCUUGAGCAAAGACAAGAAAUU